GACGAACGCUGGCGGCGUGCCUAAUGCAUGCAAGUCGCACGCGCCACCUUCGGGUGGUGAGUGGCGCACGGCUGAGGAACACGUGGGAACCUGCCGCCUUGUGGGGGACAACAGCGCGAAAGCGCUGCUAACUCCCGCACUCCGCUCUUGACUAAAGAAGGAAAGCGUGACAAACGCGCGAGGGCGGACGGGGCCCGGCCGG
rnacentral:rRNA from 1 species